GAGAGCCCCCGGCUCAACCGGGGAAGGGUCAUUGGAAACUUGGGAAACUUGAGUGCAGAAGAGGAGAGUGGAAUUCCACGUGUAGCGGUGAAAUGCGUAGAGAUGUGGAGGAACACCAGUGGCGAAGGCGACUCUCUGGUCUGUAACUGACGCUGAGGAGCGAAAGCGUGGGGAGCGAACAGGAUUAGAUACCCUGGUAGUCCACGCCGUAAACGAUGAGUGCUAAGUGUUAGGGGGUUUCCGCCCCUUAGUGCUGCAGCUAACGCAUUAAGCACUCCGCCUGGGGAGUACGGUCGCAAGACUGAAACUCAAAGGAAUUGACGGGGGCCCGCACAAGCGGUGGAGCAUGUGGUUUAAUUCGAAGCAACGCGAAGAACCUUACCAGGUCUUGACAUCCUCUGACAACCCUAGAGAUAGGGCUUUCCCUUCGGGGACAGAGUGACAGGUGGUGCAUGGUUGUCGUCAGCUCGUGUCGUGAGAUGUUGGGUUAAGUCCCGCAACGAGCGCAACCCUUGAUCUUAGUUGCCAGCAUUCAGUUGGGCACUCUAAGGUGACUGCCGGUGACAAACCGGAGGAAGGUGGGGAUGACGUCAAAUCAUCAUGCCCCUUAUGACCUGGGCUACACACGUGCUACAAUGGACAGAACACAAGGCUGCAAGACCGCAAGGUUUAGCCAAUCCCAUAAAUCUGUUCUCAGUUCGGAUCGCAGUCUGCAACUCGACUGCCUGAAGCUGGAAUCGCUAGUAAUCGCGGAU
rnacentral:rRNA from 1 species